rnacentral:lncRNA from 1 species
UGGCUGCCUCCAGGCUUCAGAAACCAUCCCCUUAACCAAGGCCGCAGGGGAUUCUGUGAUUGGCACAGCGAUAGUCCCUGGUCAGGCUCUUCCUCCCUAACCUGUCUGAUGUGUGACUCAGUGGAACACGCCUUCCAGAAGAGACUCCCCCUGCUCCUGUACUGCUUGCCCCACGCUUCCAUUUUCUUUCCUGCCCGGAAGAAAUUUGGUUGUCCUUGGUCUUUUUUUAUUUUAAUUUUUACUUAGGUUCUACAGGGUUAACUUUUUGCUGUAUGUUACUACUAUUCAGGCUCCUCUUGGCUGUACCUGUGCUACUGUUUU